rnacentral:tRNA from 1 species
GGAUGGAUGUCUGAGUGGUUUAAAGUAUCAGUCUUGAAAACUGACGCAUCGAAAGGUGUCGGGGGUUCGAAUCCCUCUCCAUCCU